CCUACGGGAGGCAGCAGUGGGGAAUAUUGGGCAAUGGAGGCAACUCUGACCCAGCAACGCCGCGUGAAUGAUGAAGGUCUUCGGAUUGUAAAGUUCUGUGAUGGGGGAUGAACACAAUGACGGUACCCCAAUAGCAAGCCACGGCUAACUACGUGCCAGCAGCAGCGGUAAUACGUAGGUGGCAAGCGUUAUCCGGAUUGACUGGGCGUAAAGGGUGCGUAGGUGGUUUGGUAAGUUGGCGGUGUAAUUCCGGGGCUCAACCUCGACGCUACCGCCAAAACUAUUAGACUAGAGUGCAGGGGGGGUAAGUGGAAUUCCUAGUGUAGCGGUGGAAUGCGUAGAUAUUAGGAGGAACAUCAGGGGCGAAGGCGACUUACUGAACUGUAACUGACACUGAGGCACGAAAGCGUGGGGAGCAAACAGGAUUAGAUACCCCAGUAGUC
rnacentral:rRNA from 1 species